rnacentral:rRNA from 1 species
GACGAACGCUGGCGGCGUGCUUAACACAUGCAAGUCGAACGGAAAGGCCCUGCUUUUGUGGGGUGCUCGAGUGGCGAACGGGUGAGUAACACGUGAGUAACCUGCCCUUGACUUUGGGAUAACUUCAGGAAACUGGGGCUAAUACCGGAUAGGAGCUCCUGCUGCAUGGUGGGGGUUGGAAAGUUUCGGCGGUUGGGGAUGGACUCGCGGCUUAUCAGCUUGUUGGUGGGGUAGUGGCUUACCAAGGCUUUGACGGGUAGCCGGCCUGAGAGGGUGACCGGCCACAUGGGGACUGAGAUACGGCCCAGACUCCUACGGGGGGCAGCAGUGGGGAAUAUUGCACAAUGGGGGGAAGCCUGAGGCAGCAGCGCCGCGUGCGGGAUGACGGCCUUCGGGUUGUAAACCGCUUUCGCCUGUGACGAAGCGUGAGUGACGGUAAUGGGUAAAGAAGCACCGGCUAACUACGUG